GCCCUGUGAUGUAAACAUGGCAGUUUUGUGAUCCUGUUAGACCAGGGAUUAUGAUACUCUAGCCUUCGGUUUUGACGGGUAAUCUUGGUAGUGUCAUAGUUAUAUUUCACUGCUGUAAGGGCCCACCUAUAACAAAACUGGCACUACUUCUAUGAAACUUGUCUUCAAAGUAAUGAGGCAAGGCAUCUAGGAGAUGUCAAACAAUGUAUGGAUAGUUGUUUGUGUGAUGAAUGUAUACGUAACAGUUGGCAAGAGGGAAUAAUCUCUUUGGAUGGUUUGCCAGGUAUGAGCAGCAAUCUUUGGUAAUCUGAGGGCA